GACGAACGCUGGCGGCGUGCCUAAUACAUGCAAGUCGAGCGAAGUUUUUCUGGUGCUUGCACUAGAAAAACUUAGCGGCGAACGGGUGAGUAACACGUAAAGAACCUGCCUCAUAGACUGGGACAACUAUUGGAAACGAUAGCUAAUACCGGAUAACAGUAUUUCUCGCAUGGGAGAUAUUUAAAAGUUGGUUGUGCUAACACUAUGAGAUGGCUUUGCGGUGCAUUAGCUAGUUGGUGGGGUAAAGGCCCACCAAGGCGACGAUGCAUAGCCGACCUGAGAGGGUGAUCGGCCACACUGGGACUGAGACACGGCCCAGACUCCUACGGGAGGCAGCAGUAGGGAAUCUUCCGCAAUGGGCGAAAGCCUGACGGAGCAACGCCGCGUGAGUGAAGAAGGAUUUCGGUUCGUAAAGCUCUGUUGUUAGGGAAGAAUGGAUAUGUAGUAACUAUACAUGUAAGAGACGGUACCUAACCAGAAAGCCACGGCUAACUACGUG
rnacentral:rRNA from 1 species